UACGAAGGGGGCUAGCGUUGUUCGGAAUUACUGGGCGUAAAGGGCGCGUAGGCGGCCCUGUCAGUCAAGCGUGAAAGCCCCGGGCUCAACCUGGGAAUUGCGUCUGAUACUGCAGGGCUUGAGGGUCGGAGAGGAUGGUGGAAUUCCCAGUGUAGAGGUGAAAUUCGUAGAGAUUGGGAAGAACACCGGUGGCGAAGGCGGCCAUCUGGACGACAGCUGACGCUGAGGCGCGAAAGCGUGGGGAGCAAACAGG
rnacentral:rRNA from 1 species